rnacentral:rRNA from 1 species
ACGCUCGACACCUACUGGAGGCAGCAGUGGGGAAUAUUGCACAAUGGGGGAAACCCUGAUGCAGCGACGCCGCGUGAAGGAAGAAGUAUCUCGGUAUGUAAACUUCUAUCAGCAGGGAAGAAAAUGACGGUAUCUGACUAAGAAGCCCCGGCUAACUACGUGCUAGCAGCCGCGGUAAUCUGAGCGGGCUGGCAAGGC